rnacentral:lncRNA from 1 species
GUACAAAUUGUGUGGAAGCAGAGGUGUAAAAAUAGUGUGAAGUUGCUCUUGAUAUUUUUGCUAUUGAUUGAUGAUAUAUAAUUUACGUUCAACAACCAUCCUUUCUGCAUACACAAAUAAAAAUAAACAUUUUGUCAUCUCGUCAUCAUGAGUGAGCAAAAAGCCAAAAGGCAGCGUAUCUCAGAUCUCUUGGAUGCUCAAGUUGGAGUGGCGAAGAUUAUUGAAAUUGUAAAGUGCUCCAGAAGCCUGGUUUACAAGGUGGCAAAGAUUAAGAAUGAUGGAAAAGACCUCUCCAGGAAAGCAGGAAGUGGAGGGCACAAUUUGAAGAGGGAUCGUGAGUUCCUGUCCAGCUUAGAGAAGAAGAUCAUGGAGGACCCCACCAAAUCCAUGAAUUGCCUCGCCAGCGACUUCUGUGUGGCUGCUAGAACCAUCAGGAGGGCCGUCAAGGGCGACUUGGGAUUGUCCUCAUACACAAGUACCCCACGCCACCUUCUGACUGAGGUCAUGAAGGCCAGGAGGCUUGAGAGUUUAAGAGACUAAGACAAGUGGCUCCUCCCUUGCCAGAUUGCUGGACGGUGCUAUGUCGGGACUUUAGAGAGGAAAAACAACGAAACUCCGCACCCAAAUGUGGACUCACUGAAGGCCGCCAUAGUGGCUGCCCAGCACAACUUUUCUGAGAAGUUUGUCAUCAAAUCUUGCAAGGAUUUCUGGCGACGUGUAAAGACUGUGAUUGAUACUGAAGGUGGCCAUAUUAAAUGAAGAAGUUUGCAAUCCCUUAUUUACAUGAUUUUUUUUUUUGUUAUUGAAAAUAAAACAUAGUAAAGUGUUAUCUAUAAUAUUAAAAUACUAUUUUUCCUGUUUGAUAGAGAUUCUCUAUAUAAUCAAAUGUUCAAUGCCCAAUUCUUUUAAUAAUAUGUAAAUAAAACUGUGCAUUACA